CGCUCUUGUCUCAUUGCCCAGGACAGCUAGGAUGACGCAACGAGCUCUCUGUAUAAGUCCUUUGCAAAGGAAGGCAUGGCUGGAGAGCCUGGAGGGGUGUCUCGUAGCUGAAAGGGCUGAAAGUCUGGAGCCAAACCCUGAGAAUGAUCUUCAGGGGGAAAGAAAUCGAGACCCUGUGUUUAAAACUCAAAAACUGCUUUGAUUAGUCAACAUAUUCAUCUUCUGUGAUGGGAAUAAAGUUUGUAAUCACAAACGAGCAAAAGCACUUUUAAGUAUUUAUUAAAACCCACUCCAGGUUAACAACCUGCGAGUGGCCAUCCUGCCAAUUCUAUUCUUAACCCAAAAGAAAUGAUGCACUAUUUGCCGUAGGGGUAAUAAAACCAGUUUUUCCCCUCCCUGGAAAUACACUUGGAUUUGCCCAACAGGCAUAGCAGGAUCAGCAGUGACUUCUGAUGCUU
ensembl:lncRNA